rnacentral:rRNA from 1 species
UAGGGAAUCUUCGGCAAUGGGGGCAACCCUGACCGAGCAACGCCGCGUGAGUGAAGAAGGUUUUCGGAUCGUAAAGCUCUGUUGUAAGUCAAGAACGAGUGUGAGAGUGGAAAGUUCACACUGUGACGGUAGCUUACCAGAAAGGGACGGCUAACUACGUGCCAGCAGCCGCGGUAAUACGUAGGUCCCGAGCGUUGUCCGGAUUUAUUGGGCGUAAAGCGAGCGCAGGCGGUUUGAUAAGUCUGAAGUUAAAGGCUGUGGCUCAACCAUAGUUCGCUUUGGAAACUGUCAAACUUGAGUGCAGAAGGGGAGAGUGGAAUUCCAUGUGUAGCGGUGAAAUGCGUAGAUAUAUGGAGGAACACCGGCGGCGAAAGCGGCUCUCUGGUCUGUAACUGACGCUGAGGCUCGAAAGCGUGGGGAGCGAACAGGAUUAGAUACCCUGGUAGUCCACGCCGUAAACGAUGAGUGCUAGGUGUUGGAUCCUUUCCGGGAUUCAGUGCCGCAGCUAACGCAUUAAGCACUCCGCCUGGGGAGUACGACCGCAAGGUU